rnacentral:rRNA from 1 species
UCUGGAGACAGGUGCUGCAUGGCUGUCGUCAGCUCGUGUCGUGAGAUGUUGGGUUAAGUCCCGCAACGAGCGCAACCCUUGCCUUUAGUUGCCAGCAGUUCGGCUGGGCACUCUAAAGGGACUGCCGGUGUUAAACCGGAGGAAGGUGGGGAUGACGUCAAGUCCUCAUGGCCUUUAUGACCAGGGCUACACACGUACUACAAUGGCCGAUACAAAGGGCAGCGACACUGCGAGGUGAAGCCAAUCCCGUAAAAUCGGUCUCAGUCCGGAUUGGAGUCUGCAACUCGACUCCAUGAAGUUGGAAUCGCUAGUAAUCGUGAAUCAGAAUGUCACGGUGAAUACGUUCCCGGGCCUU